rnacentral:rRNA from 1 species
AUUGAACGCUGGCGGCAGGCCUAACACAUGCAAGUCGAACGAGUGGCGGACGGGUGAGUAAUGUCUGGGAAACUGCCUGAUGGAGGGGGAUAACUACUGGAACCGGUAGCUAAUACCGCAUACCCUCGUAUGUGCCCAGAUGGGAUUAGCUUGUUGGUGGGGUAACGGCUCACCAAGGCGACGAUCCCUAGCUGGUCUGAGAGGAUGACCAGCCAAACUGGAACUGAGACACGGUCCAGACUCGUACGGGAGGCAGCAGUGGGGAAGAGUGCACAAGGGGCGAAAGCCGGAUGCAGCAAUGUCGCGGGUAUGAAGAAGGCCUUCGGGUGGUAAAGUACUUUCAGCGGGGAGGCGUUACCCGCAGAAGAAGCACCGGCUAACUCCGUGCCAGCAGCCGCGGUAAUAC